GUGGGGAAUUUUGGACAAUGGGCGAAAGCCUGAUCCAGCAAUGCCGCGUGCAGGAUGAAGGCCUUCGGGUUGUAAACUGCUUUUGUACGGAACGAAAAGCUUCGGGUUAAUACCCUGGAGCCAUGACGGUACCGUAAGAAUAAGCACCGGCUAACUACGUGCCAGCAGCCGCGGUAAUACGUAGGGUGCAAGCGUUAAUCGGAAUUACUGGGCGUAAAGCGUGCGCAGGCGGUUUUGUAAGACAGAGGUGAAAUCCCCGGGCUCAACCUGUGAACUGCCUUUGUGACUGCAAGGCUGGAGUACGGUAGAGGGGGAUGGAAUUCCGCGUGUAGCAGUGAAAUGCGUAGAUAUGCGGAGGAACACCGAUGGCGAAGGCAAUCCCCUGGGCCUGCACUGACGCUCAUGCACGAAAGCGUGGGGAGCAAACAGGAUUAGAAACCCCUGUAGUCC
rnacentral:rRNA from 1 species